rnacentral:lncRNA from 1 species
UAAUUAUUCUCUUCCAGAGAAUAUUUUUCCCGUAUUGCUAUUUCCAAGGGCUUUCUGUCUGAUUUAUUUUCUGUUUUCAGGACUCAGUGAAGCAGAAAACCAAAAGUUAGUCUUCAGUGGUUGGGGAAAAUCCUGAAAGUUGGCGGAGGUGGUCUCCGGAUGAUCCAGCCCAGUUUUUCCAGGACGAGGGAGCAAAGAGCUGGCAAGUGCAGAUUCCAGUUGCUCCUGGAGUCACAAAGAAGGGAAGAGGAAACACUGUGAUGAGGGGAUAUAAACCCACGUGCAGGGACAUGAAGCAGAGGACCUGUAUGUACUGAAAGUGGUUUAUAUAUGUGUGCUCUGAUCUUUAAAUGUAACCCUAAUGCUUAUCACGAGUUAGUAAUUGCUUACCAGAACCAGACUGGCCUUUCAGUGUAGCAUCAAACUCGAGGCAAUGAGGGCAGCAUGAAAAACAGCUUCUAAGUUGUCAGUGCCUUGGACUCCUUUGCCUUUUCUUUGCCUGUAGAACCAGAAAUGAAUGUGUUAUCCUUUCAAACUGCUUUGAUAAAUCUCAUUCCCUUUAGGAUUAAACAUUCCUGAAC